GUAUAGAACUUCUCAGCCCCGUCCAACUGAGGUGACGUUCACGGUAUGGUUCCUUUUGUACCGGACUCAUUUGCCCUUUCCCUGGAUACCCAGUAAGUCUUUCACAUUAAGAUUAUCAUCAAGCAAUACAACCAACAAAUGCAUACUAAUAUUCCAUAUUAUAUUUACAGAUCAAUUAGACUAUAUUUAUGUAGGCGAUGUAACUUAUCAUAACAAGAGAUCGAGUAACCAGAUAAG
rnacentral:lncRNA from 1 species